rnacentral:lncRNA from 1 species
ACUCAGGCGCGUGCCCGCGUCGACCGAAUGCUUUGUUUUCUUUCCUCUGUUUACCUAAACGCAGAUUCCCGGUCGGAAUAUUAUCGCUUUUUUACGAGAAAAAUGGCAUAAAAAUUGAUUUUAAACAGCGGUUGACAUUCGGAGUACGGUAAUGGAAUAUUUAGAAUUUUUUUGUCACGAAUUGCGCCAUGCUCGUGACCCUUAUUUACACUUCGGAUAGUGUCUGGAACGCACGAACAUAACGCCGCUAUUUGGAUAUAACGAUGGAUUAUUUUGGACCAAACCAACAUUUGUUAUUGAAGUAGCAGUCCUGGGAGUGCAUUCUGACGAAGACAACAAAGUGAAUGGAGGACAUCAGACUGGACACAGAAUUCAACCUACAGCUGCAGUCAGUGCUGUGGUUCAUCAGAAAUGGGUGGCCUGAAUCGAUAAGAGACUUAUCAGGUGAGAGGGGAACUAUCAGAGACGCAUUCGCUAGUGAUCAGGCGAAAGCCCAUAGUCAUUCCCACAUGCAUGAGGAAAGAAGUCCUACAUAGGAUUCAUGAUGGACACCAUGGGCUGGUUAAGUGCAGGGAGAGAGCUAACCAGUCAGUGUGGUGGCCUAAAAUCUCACAGGAGAUUAUCACAGAGGUGCAAAUGUGUGCAUUUUGCUGUGAAACUAAGAGCACACAGAGAAAAGAGUGAUUAAUGUUCAGUGAGCUUCCCUCCAGACCAUGGCAGAAAAUAACAACAGAGCUGUGUGAGUACAAAAAUAAAAACUACUUAAUCCUCCACCUUCCAACCAUGAGCAAUAGCCAGGUCAUAGCGAAGCUCAAAGCAACCUUUGCUAGCUUCGGAGAUCCUGGUUAGCGAUAAUGGCCCCCAGUUGGCAAGUACAGAGCUAAAAGAACUCAGUAAGGAGCAUGACUUCAUAAAUGUGACAAGCAGCCCCCACUUCCCACAGAGUAAUGGACAUGUGGAGACAUACCGUUGAUAAACAAUGUUUUAUUGAAAGGGGGGGAAGAUGUGAUGCAUGUGUUAAUUCAUGUUGUUUAUUGUGCGCAUGCGCUAGAGCAUGUGGGCAGUUA